rnacentral:lncRNA from 1 species
UUUUUUUUUUUUUUUUUUGAGACAGAUUGUUGCUCUGCUGCCCAGGCUGGAGUGCAGUGGUGCGACCUCUGCUCACUGCAACCUCCGUCUCCCGGGUUCAGGUGGUUCUCCUGCCUCACCUCCCGAGCAGCUGGGAUUACAGGCAUGUACCAGCACACCUGGCUAAUUUUGUAUUUUUAGUAAAGACAGGGGUUCACCAGGUUGGCCAGGUUGGUCUCGAACUCCUGACCUCAAGUGAUUCGCCUGCCUUGGCCUCCCAGAGUGCUGGGAUUACAGGCAUGAGCCACUGCGCCCGGCAACAAGAGUUGUUUAAAUGGCACUUAUUUGUGGAAGAGACCAAGGCAAAUAUCCCACACAUCUGGAUUUGUCUGCCUGCUUCCUCAGAGUUUAGCAUGUCCCUUUAUCCCCUGUAUUUCCUAUUAACUCAAAUUACCAAGAUAGUCUCCGAUUUUGAGACAUUUAGGUAUUUUCAAAUUCCCCUACUUCAGGGUUGUGGAGAACAUUCUUGUAUCUUUUUCCUGGUGCAAGUGGAAAGACUUUCUCUAGCGUAUACCAGGAAGCGCUCAGGGUAAGUUCUUCAACUCCGUUAGAUGUGCCAAAUUGCCCUCCAGAUUAACUGUAUUGAUCUGUACCCCCAUCGGGUCACAUUGGAGACCCCAUUUUCAGACCAUAGCCAACAUUUGGUACUGUCCUCCGUUAAUUUCUGCCAUCCCUGAUGGUUGAAAAAUGCAUCUUCUUACGCUCACUUUCCCUUUCAUGACUUGCAGUGCGGUUGGGCAUCUUCACUUAUGGGUGUUGACCUCCCAGGCUAAGGAAGGAGACUGAGACAGCAGAAUCCACGGGAUUCAGGAAGUGCUUAGAGAUGGUACCAACUGGUUUUAUUAAAAGGGAAAGUGUUUGCCCAGGCGCGGUGGCUCACGCUUGUAAUCCCAGCACUUUGGGAGGCCGAGGCAGGCGGAUCAUGAGGUCAAGAGAUGGAGACCAUCCUGGCCAACGUGAUGAAACCUCUAAAACCGCUACUAAAAAUACAAAAAUUAGCUAGGCAUGGUGGCGCACACCUGUAGUCCCAGUUACUGGGGAGGCUGAGGCAGGAGAAUCACUUGAACUUGGGAGGCGGAGGUUGCAGUGAGGUGAGAUCACACCACUGCACUCCAGCCUAGUGACAGAGAGACUCCAUCUAAAAACAAAAAAGGGAAACUGUUGCCAGGUGUGGUGGUGCACAUCUGGAAUCCCAGCUACUCAGGAGGCUGAGGUGGGAGGACUGCUUGAGCUCCAGAGUUUGAGUCCAGCCUGGGCAACAUAAUGACACCAUCUCAAAAAACCACAAAAAAUAAGCAGGGGGUAGAGUGCAAAAUAGCAUACUUUUCUAUAUCCACAACAAAUGGCCUUCAGAUGUUAAAUGUUUUAUUGGUUUUCGUUCUAAUGUGUUUUCUGUUAUUUUUAUUUUUAUUUUUUAGUAGAGAUGGGGUUUCACCACAUUGCUCAGGCUGGUCUCCAACUCCUAACCUCAAAUGAUCCACCCACCUUGGCCUCCCAAAAUGCUGAUAUUACAGGUGUGAACCACUGUGCCUGGCCUGUUUUUUGUUUUUUGAUUUUUUUUUUUUUUUUGAGAUGGAGUCUGGCUCUGUUGCCCAGGCUGGAGUGCAGUGGCACGAUCUGGGCUCACUGAAACCUCCGCCUCCCAGAUUCACACCAUUCACUCAGCCUCCCAAGUAGCUGGGACUACAGGC